CGCGACCAAAAUGUUGGGCGGGUACUUCGCUGAGGUGAAUGCAGCUGUUUCGGCUAACCAGGUGACCAGCCCACUGGGAGUGAAAAAUAGAAUCAGCACUUUUGUCGGGUCGGAAAACUCAGUCUCUCAGCUGUUGCAUCCCGAAAUCCCCCGGUCGUGAGAACCUGCUCCCUCCUGACCAGCCACUGAAAAUUGACGGGGGAAUUGAAGUUUCCAGAAGAUUAUCCUUGCGCCUUUUUGAAUCGUUGGGCUCAAGAUGACUAUGCCAACACAUCCAAAUCGAUUCCAGCGGCAUACAAUAAAUUAUCAAAGUAGAAGCAGACU